AAUAAUAUAAAUUAAUAUGAAUGGAUUUAUAAUAAUUAUUAAUGAUUUAUAAAUUUAAUUAUUAAAUUUAUGAUAAAAUAAAAUUUAGUAAAAAAGUUAUAAUUUUAAUUAAUUAUUAAUUAAUAAGAUUAAAUAAUAAACUAGGAUUAGAUACCCUAUUAUUUUAAUUUUAAAUAUUUAAGAAGGAGUAAAAUUAUAAGAAAUAUAAAAAUUAUGGCGGUGUUUUAUUUAAAAUAGAGAAAUUUGUCGCAUAAAUGAUAAUCCACGAUAGGAUAGACUUAUUUUUAAGCUUAUGUAUGUUCAUAUUAAAGUUGUUUUAUAAAAACAUGACUGAUAUUUUUUAUAUUUAUAUAAUUAAAAAAGUAAUUUAGAUCAAUAUGUAGCAAUAAAUAAGAGUUAGAUGAAUUACAUUUAUAGAUUUGAUUAUUAAUUUUAAUAUUAAUAUGAAAUAGAAUUUAUUAGUAAAUUUUAUAAAUUAGUAAGAUUGAAAUUUAAUUUAGAACAUGUACAAAUCGCCCGUCACUUCUAUUUAAAUUAGAGGAAGUCGUAACAAAGUAAAUGUACUGGAAAGUGUAUUUAGUUAAA
rnacentral:rRNA from 1 species